GCGAGGAGCCACACGAGCGGCGAGGCGGCGGCGGCGGCCAUCGCAGCGCGGAGCAGGAGGCAGAGCUGGAGAAGAAGGGCAAACGGGGGGAGAGAUCACUGCGGCGCCUUGUCCAUUUGCGACGGCGAGGCAGCGUUUUUUGGAGGGGUUUCGGGGGCUCUUCGCUUCGAGCGGUGGAGGGAGGUGAGGGAAGCAAUGGAGAGGGAGAGGGAGGCCCCGCUUGUGCUAUUAAGGGGGUGUUUUAGAUGGG
rnacentral:lncRNA from 1 species